rnacentral:lncRNA from 1 species
UUUAAUUUUAGGUUCCUAAUUUAUGUUACUAUUUAUGUACUUUUUUAGGUUGAAUUGGUGUUGGAUUUUUGUCUCCGAUAUCCGAUCCCCGCCGUGCCGAACUGUUUUCUUCGGACAUCUCCCUGCAUUGGUGUUGAAUUGGUGUUUGUUUUGAAGGUUUGUAAUGUACAAUUAAUUAAGUUCUUUUUAUGUUGCGAUAUAUAGUUUAUGAUACAUGUUAUGUAUUUUGUUGUAUUGAUUGAUCGAUAUAUAUAUGUUUUUGAUAUGUUAUGUGUUGAUAUUUUUUAUAGGUUUUUGCGGAUAGUUGUAAUUAACAUUUGCGGUCGAAAUUCAAUUUGGACUUUAAUAUUUAUCGAUCAAUGUGAUAUUUUUUAUUCAUUUUAAAUUAUUCAUUUAUUAAUUAGUUAAUAUAAUUUUUAUGUUAAUUAAUUAAUUGGAAAAUGAAAUGCAUGUUCUUAAUGUAAAUUUAAAAUGAAUACAAAUAUUUUGAAAUGAAUGCUAUGAAAUGAAAUGUCAUGAAAUGAAUUGAAAUGCAUGAUUUUAAAUUAAAUAAAAAAUUAAAUAAAUUUAAAAAUUAGUUAAAUAAAUGUUUAGUAAUUAUUUUAUAUAAAUGAGUUAUUUAAUUAAUUAAUAAUAAAUGUUUAGUAAUUAUUUAUCAAAUGAAAUAAAUAUUAAUUAUGUAAUUAAUAAGUAAUUAAAUAAUUAAAUAAUUAUUUAAUUUAAAAAUAAUUAAUUAGGGUUAGGGUAAGUUAAUUUUUAAAUAAUUGUUGAAUAAUUAUUUAAAAAUUAAAAUCAUUUAUUUAUUUAAUUAAUAAUUAUUUAAUUAAUUAUUGAUUAAAUAAUUAAAUAAUUAAAUCGAAAAAAAUGGAGUGCCCGUUUGGAUCUUCAAGAAAUGAAAAUUCGUUCUGAGUUACAUCCAGUAAAGAUUAGUGAUUCUGAAUGGAAGAUUCCAAAGGCGAUAUUCAAUCUCAAUAAUGAAGAAAAGACGAUUUUCUGUAAAGUAUUUCAUGAUCUCAAAUUUCCGGAUGAAUACGUAUCCAACAUCUCAUCAAAAGUGAAAUUGAAAGAAAAGAAGUUUACAAGUUUGAAAAGUCAUGAUUGUCAUAUGAUAAUGCAACAAUUACUUCCAAUUGCGUUACGUCGAUCAACACAUCCGAAGGUAACAUUUGUUUUAGUUGACAUAUGCAAGUAUUUCAACGCGAUUUGUUCUAAGGCGAUUGUAGUUGAACAUAUGGAAAGAUUGAAAAAAAACAUCGUUAUUACAUUGUGCAACUUGGAAAAAAUAUUUCCUCCCAGUUUUUUACAAUAAUGAUACAUCUAGUAGUACAUCUUGCAAGUGAAGCGAAAGUGGCUGGUCCAGUUUAUUAUCGAUGGAUGUAUUCAAUUGAAAGAUAUCUAUUGACUUUAAAAAAAUACGUUCGGACUCGUAGUCAUCCUGAAGGGUCGAUUGCAGAAAAAUAUCUAGCCGUCGAAUCUAUGACAUUCUGUUCACGUUUUUUACAUAACGUUGAAACUAAGUCAAAUAGAACCGAAAGAUAUAUCGAUGGUUACUAUGAUGCAUCAACUCACACUUCACUUACUAAACUUGAACAUGGUCAGGUUCAUCGAUAUAUCAUUUUCAAUUUGGAUAUUAUUGAGAUAUUCCGAAAUCUUCAUAUCGACGACCUAAAACAAAGGUACGUAUAUGACAUGAUUAAUCAUUUUCAUAUCAUCGAUAUAUCUUUUUCGUAUCUAUUUAAUAUUUACGUUUGACAUAUUAGGUAUCCGACUAUUACUUCUUUGUGUUUGCAAAAAUUACAUUUCAAAGAAUUUGCAGACUUAUUUGAAACAUAUGUUCAGAAAAAUAGGGGCAAGGACGAGAAUAUUUCACGAGAUAUUUGUUCGAUAUCAAAAGGUCCAAAUUUCUUUCUAAAAUUGUACAACGGCUACAUCUUAAACGGUGUGAAAUUUCUUUCGUUUGAAGUGUCA